UCAUAACGUCCAUGUGGCAGCGCACGCACU
rnacentral:sRNA from 1 species